GAUGAACGCUGGCGGCGUGCCUAAUACAUGCAAGUCGAGCGAACAGACGAGGAGCUUGCUCCUCUGACGUUAGCGGCGGACGGGUGAGUAACACGUGGAUAACCUACCUAUAAGACUGGGAUAACUUCGGGAAACCGGAGCUAAUACCGGAUAAUAUAUUGAACCGCAUGGUUCAAUAGUGAAAGACGGUUUUGCUGUCACUUAUAGAUGGCUCCGCGCCGCAUUAGCUAGUUGGUAAGGUAACGGCUUACCAAGGCAACGUUGCGUAGCCGACCGGAGAGGGGGAUCGGCCACACUGGAACUGAGACACGGUCCAGACUCCUACGGGAGGCAGCAGUAGGGAAUCUUCCGCAAAGGGCGAAAGCCUGACGGAGCAACGCCGCGUGAGUGAUGAAGGUCUUCGGAUCGUAAAACUCUGUUAUUAGGGAAGAACAAAUGUGUAAGUAACUAUGCACGUCUUGACGGUACCUUAUCAGAAAGCCACGGCUAACUACGUG
rnacentral:rRNA from 1 species